rnacentral:rRNA from 1 species
AUGCGAGUCUCCACAGAGAUCUUCAAUCUCGUCCACUGUGACGGUGCCUCCGCCGCCGAUCUAUGGGCGGCCCUUCGUCAGCUCUUCCAGGACAACGUCGACGCUCGCGCCAACAAUCUCCACACCGAGCUUCGAAAUACGGUGCAAGGUGAUUCACCAGUCGGCGUCUACUGCCAACGCCUCAAGGCGAUCGCGGAUGAACUCCGCGAACUUGGUGAUCCGAUCGACGAUCGCCAGCUCAUCAACGUCCUCCUCGUCGGCCUCAGCGAGCGGUUCGAGAAGCAGGCCUCCUUCAUCCCUAUGAUGCGUCCGCGUCCCUCCUUCGCCGAGGUUCGCUCGAUGCUCCAAUAG